AACCUUCAACGUAAUCCACCACAGGACAGGAAGGUAGUACCAUGUUGGUGAGGUAAUGAUUUUACUAUACGGGUAAAAUCAGGCAGGACGAAUGAUAUGCUGUGCUGCUGCUCUUAAAUAACGUAUUUCCUAAUUCUAAAUUUUAUCAAGUGUUACACAAAUUUAUCUGGUUGAUCCAGUUUCCAGUUGUGAAUUCCUUCAAUAUCAACUGUGUUGUCUUAGAAUGAAUAAUUGGAGAACACUGAGGCACUUCCAAUAUUUUUAUUGGCAACAAGCAGGAUUUUUGCCAACUCUUAACAGAAGAAAAACAAAGCUUCUUAAUAACUGCUUCUGACAACUGUGUGGCUUGCAUCUGUUUCUAUACUAUGUUUUCAUCCAGGUACUGUGAUGUUUAAUUUAUGGAUAAAUUGCAUGCAGGACUAAAGUGGUUUUCAUUUGGGUGCUUACAUGCAAGACCUCUGUGUUUUGAUGAUUCCAUAGAACAGAAAUCUCCAGUAGUAGACAAGUUAUCUGGGGAAUUUACUAGAGCUCACAAAGCGUAACUGUUUCUAAUAUUACAAAAUAUUUAGUAUACAUGUGGUAGUAUGGUAUUUGGUACACACAAGGAAAAUAAAUCUACUUGAUAUUAAGGACCUCUGCAAAUACAUAAAAUAAGUCUCUUAUCCUCACGUUUGGCUUUUUAACGAACUUAAGAUCUAAUUUCACACCGAAUCUCUGUAAAAUGCUUUUAUACACUCCACUGGGAAUUUCAGCAGCAUUUGCAGUCUGCCAGCAUUCAUGAUUUUGGCAGCCUGUUUUAUAAAAGUGGUAUAGCAACUCUGAAGUAAUGAGCAAACUAGGAACACAGAGAUAUUACCAGACUGAAACAGAGAGGUAAACAGAAACCUUUUACUUAACGAACUGCAGAUUCCCUCCUAAUCAAAAUUCAUUACAGAUUAAUGCCAGAACUAAAAUCAGAGUUUAAAAAAAAAGGGGGGGGAAUGGGUGGUAUUAAAAACAAAUUUUCAUUUAAUUAUCUAUUUGUGUACUUUUCCUGUGGGUAUUAAACUAAAUCUGAAGUAGACACAAAAAUGGCAAACAAAUAGAAACGUGAUAAACUAGUUUUUGUUUGUUUAAAUACACAGUUCCUGCUGAAAUCUCAUCUGAGGCUGCAGGAAAAUAAAAAUCUUCUGCUUUAAGUAAUGUCUAUUCUGCCAACAAAGACAAUUGUAUAGAGAUGUCUUUACACAGCUGAAUUUUAUUCAGGAAUAAAUUUCAGGCUAUUGAAAUUGAUUUUCAAGCUUUCAAAUUAAAAUGGAAAAAGACCCAUGGAAAUAUCCUUGCAGCUCAGGCUGUAUUUGGUUUUCUGCUGAAGCUAACAUGAUUAGUUCGAAUUAAGGAAGUCCCCCAGUUCUAGAACUUUUUUUGUUUUAAUGCAUGAAAAGUAAAUAUACACUAUAUCCCUAAGCCUGGAAGUCAUCAUAUUCACUGAGAGAGAUGAUGUUAACAAAAAUACAGUUCCUUUCAUAUAUAUCAUGAGUAAGUCAAUACAAAUGUACAUAUGGUAUUGAUUGACUAAAUUCUUUCUGUGACUUUGUGAUAAUAAUAUUAAAAGUUUGUACAUCAAAUAUUGUCUGUACUCCAGAAUCAAACCAUUUUAUGGAAAUUGUUCAAUUUACUAUCUAUGGAUGAAAAUUUGUAUAUAUUUGACAAUAUGUUUUGCACGUGUGUUCAGAAGAUUUAAGGUUCAGUAUCACCAAAUAGAGAUUAAAAACAAAACAACUAUGCUAUUAGAUUUAUAAAUAGAACAUUCCUUUAUGAAUCAUAAUUUCAAAAGCAAUUAAUAAAAACCUGCUUUGAUCAAUGUUAUUAUUUUAAAAACAAUAACAAAAACCACACUGAUUACUUUAAGGUCAUCAUGUUUCAGAACAAAUAUUGCAAGAAAAAGUCCAGCUGUAGUUAAACAAUCUAGACAAAAAAAAUCACAGGAUGGUAUUACUGCCCCUGUGAACUGCUCUAUCCAUUCCUGCUCUGAGGAACUUGGAAAGCACAGGUGUAGACAUUUGUCCUUCCUGGUAACUGGCCUUGUGAGACUAAACAAGCACUAGAGACAAUCAACAUAAAGAUCGAUUUAAAGACAACCACAGACAAUUUUUACACAUAAGCAUACCAUUCAGAAUAGAUUCAAAAUUUUAACUGACAAUAUUUGUGAAUGCCAAUGGUAUAGGUUGCACAUUUAAUGAAUGUAGUUUGUUGUUGCAUUUUAUAUUGGGAAUAUAAUUUAAAUUAUUUGCAUUCAUUGUAAUAACUGCUUGACUUCUGAAUAAUCUGUUUUGCAUAAAACUUUUAUCUGUGUGUACAUUUCACUUGAUUACUGUGGUUGGCUAGUAAGAUUCAAUGAACUGUAAAGGAGAUGAUAUAAAAAAGGAGAUUUUUUUUUCCUGUGUCAUGUCCCCUCCCUGUCUUUUGCCAGCAGGGCAAUAGUUUUCUAUUCUGGGGGUGGAAAAGGACCUCAACCAUCUGAAGAUGAGCAGAGGCCACAGUGGUGUGUUUCUACACGCAGCCUUUUUACAGUGAAGCUGAUCCACCUUCAAACCUAUGCCCAGCACCGAAGUCUUUAUUAGUGGAAGCUAAGUUUCAGGUUGCUGUCUGAUACUUAGGUGGAUAAUUGGAAAUGCUUGAAUUGUAACUGAACAGAGAAUGAAUGCUCUGAGCCUUUCAGUCAUCCUGGAAUAACUGCAUUUAAUAUAUGAUGUUCUAAGAGAAGGUGCAGAGGACUAUUCAUGUUCAUGAAGGUCUAGUCUAUUUUAAAUAUUUCACAGCUGCUCUUUUUUUUAUUGCUGAAAUGAGUCUUAAAGGACACAUACUGAAAUCUAAUUCCUUACAAAUGGAGGCAUUCAAAGACAAUUUAAACAUUAUUCAUUACUUAUCAGAAAACUAAAAACCACAAAGUGCUAGAUAUAUCCAACAGCAGAGGUUGAGGGCAUUGUUUACUGUACAACUAACUUUAUUAGUAUGACAGAGGUAAAGAAAGGUGUUUUUCUAAAUGUUCACAAUGCUCUCUCGAUAGGCUAAUUUUAUUGUUAUUAUUUGUA